AAGCUAACGUGAGAAUGGAUAGUGAUGGUAACCAUCAGCAGACAGUGAAGAGAAGUGAAAACUCAAAAGUGCUCUAAUGCUUUUAUAAAACCAAGUUCCGAUGGCGAGUUGAGAGACAUUAGUUGAUUGUAUUUGUACCAAAUGUAUGAAAGAAAUUGUUGUUCUUGUGGAUAUCAAGAAGAAGGGCGCAGUAAAUAAGAUUGUCAUGUUACCCUCCUAAUCUUGCAGGAUUGCCACCUUCUGCUUCUACAAUUAUAUAUGAACGAGUCAUAGACUCUAACCUGUAUAUACAAAAAUGACACCCAUACCAUAAUUUUAGUACAUUAACUAGUUGGGACUUGUCAAUCACGUUUAACCUGAACAACAGUUCCUUUGGCAGGGUAAGAUUCUGCCAGAAACAACAACAUGCUUCUUUAAAACCUUAAGAUUAUUAAUGCAAUGUAUGUACCAAAAAACCGCAAACCAUUCAAAACAUAAGCCUUAUUUAGCAUCUCUUAGUUUGAAACAUAACACUAUAAGAAAAUACUACUAACCUCAUAAGCUGCAUUCUUCUUAGUAUCUGAUAACGAGGUGUUUCCAAGUCUGAAGUUUUGUAAAUCCUUAAUUUUGUAACUGCCAAAAAAUUAUAUUCUCAUAUUUCUUGACUAAAGAAAAGAUCACAAGCUAAACCAGUUCAACAUCACACCCGUUCCAUAACAAAAACAGUCCUAGAGUAAAAUAUUAUUAUUCUCAAUAAAAUUUUAGAAGUCCUACAGAUUUUAAUAAGAAGUUUGUAAACACUCCAUCCUUCACUAAGUAGUAUAUCCAAUUGAAUUUGUUUUGAGAAAGAGUAAAGUAUCAUACAUACCUUAUGGUUACUACACUUGUUUGUUUCUACAUUGAUACCCAUAACACAAGUGCCUGAAAAAAUAAAUUCAGGUUUACUUAAACAGAAUGAACUCAUCACCAUACCGCAACAUAAAUUUGGAACAUAUGCUUAUAUAUGAUUGUGCUAAUGCAUAUCAUAAUUUUACCCUUAUAAGUUGUUGGAAUAUUUAUACUGUAAAUUUGAAAAAAAAUCCACCAUCUCAGUAAAUGCAUUGGAUAGCGUCUAGAAGUGUUUAGGAGUUAUAACUUUAUCCUAAUUGUUGCAUAGAAGUUUUAGAAAUAAAGGAAUGGUAAUAUCUUAACAACAAACUCUUCUUCACCUAUUUGCAUGCUUCCUUCAUUGCUAGCAGCCACAAGAAGAACAAAAAAUAUAUAGAAAGCAAAGAUGCAUUCCCAUGACUAUUUAUUUAGUAAGUUGAACAUCAAAUGAAUGCAAAUACUCACCCUAUAUCCACUAAACUGAUCAUCAAAUUUGGGGGAAAAUUGUGCCUCCCCAACUCAUUUGCUCCCUGCAAAUAUUCACACAGAUAUUAACAACCACAACUGUGAACAGUACUUAAUCCAAUAGAGAAAAUUUGUUAGUAUAGUUUUUUUGUGUGCAUAUAACUAUAAAUUGGGAACCACUAGGUGUGGCAAACGGGCCGGCCGGAUUGGAUAUGGUUCGGGUUAAAAAUGGGUAAUGAAAAAAACGGAUUAAUUAUUCGACCCGACCCAUAUUUAAUACGGAUAAAAAAUGGGUUAACCGCGUAUAAUAUGGGUUACUCAUAUUAUCUAUGACUUAUUGUAUAUGAUCACUUUUGGGAGAAUUCUUAGUCUCUCUAACUUGAGGAACCCCAAUUUGAGGCUUUACAAAUGUAAAAGUUAGAUCCAUUGAUUAUCCAUUGGUUACUCAUUGGUUAUCCAUUUUGCCACCAUAAGCACCACCCAAAAAGCCAUUUAAGAUUCCCAAUCUGCAAAUGGAGGCAAUGAAGAAUAAACAAUAUACAAGAAAUUAUAGGGAAAAAAGCUUGUUCAGGCUUAGUACUAGAGAAAUCAAGAUUGAACUACUAAUUCUCGUUUCAUACAACAAAGUAAUUUAAAUAGAUUACAAAAGACAAAUAUAGGAAUUUAAAUAUAUGAAAAAACCCCUCCAUUUAUAAUAAUUGGAGAGAUUCCUAAUUCAUUGCUUUGAAUUUGGCAAUCUUUUAAAUUCUUGGCACUUAUCAAUAUAAAUAAAGAAGGGAUUUCCAUUUCACAGCCACACUAUAAUGAUGAAACUGAAAAGAACUAAUUUCGAUCAAGAAUCCUAGGAAAGAAAUGGGAACAAUCGAAAUUAAGAAAAUUAAAAAAACAAAGACUAUGGUGAUCAUACCUUGGCGAUUAUGUUUUUCAAGAGCAGGAGGGACAAGGGUUCAAGGGAUGGUUGGUUAGAGUGGGCAAGGAUUGGGGGAGAUGGAGCGUAUAGUUUUGGGGGAAAAGGGUUUGGAGUCUGAAUUUUGUAGGUUUAAGGAAUUGAGAGAGGCGUAAUAUUUUUCUUCUUUUUUUCGUUUAUCCUUUUUAUUUGUAACUUUACCUUUUAACUUUCUAUAUAUUUGCACCCACAAAGGAGUAUCCAAAUAAGGUAUAAGGCCAUACUAAAUUUUUAUUUCAGAAUUUUAUAGUUACAAUAUUUUAUUUCAAAUAGUUUAUCUGGGGCAAAAUGGUAACUUUUGCUAAAGUAAGCUUCAACUUGCGGCAAAAACAUAUGUUUAGCUAUGAUAUUUUAUCAUAGCAAUAAAUAUGUGACUAUGUCAUUUCGCCAUGAUAAUUAAUUGGAGUUGUUAAGCCAAUUAUUGCCACGGUCUUUUAUCAAUUGAAGAAAAAAAUAUUUAUUUAGCUAUAAUAUUUUGGUUUGAAUAAUUUAUUGUGGCUAAAAGGUUAUUAUUUCUACAGAACUUUAAACGUGUGGCAAAAAGCUUGUGAUUAGCUACAAAAUUUUGUCGUGCCAACAAUUUUGUAGCUAUUUAGGUAAUUAUUGCUACGAUAGUUAGCAAUCAUAGCAAAACUAAGAAAUUAGCUUUGCCAAUUUAAUUUUCGUAGCUAUGAAAUUUUAGUAUUUUAUAAAUAGCUAUGAUGUUUUUAUUUUUGUGGCUAUUGUUAGGUAUUAACCAUGAUUUUUGAAUCUGUAGCAGAGACUUCAUAGUUAUAGAUAUAUUAUGUUGUAGUGAUAUCCUCAAGAAUCUGAAUAAUGCGCUCGGACUGCCCGUCCGUCUGAGGGUGAAAUGUUGUGCUCAACUCCACCCGAGUACCCAUCUCAUGUUGUACGACUCUCUAGAACCGUGAUGUAAACUGUGUACCCCGGUCAGAAAUGAUAGAUACAGGCACGCCAUGAAGUCUCACAAUCUCACGGAUAUAAACUCGAGCCAGCUGCUUGAAAUAAUAGGUAGUCAUCAUAGGAAGGAAAUGAGCCGACUUGGUCAGUCUAUCCACAAUCACACAAAUUGCAUCACACUUCUGAUGAGUCUGUGGGAGUCCAACAAUGAAAUCCAUAGUGAUCCGCUCCCAUUUCCACUCCAUAAUCUCUAACUUCUGAAGCAACCCACCCGGUCGUUGAUGCUCAUACUUUACCUGCUAGCAAUUUAGACACCGAGAAACAUACUCCACUAUGUCCUUCUUCAUUCUACGCCACUAACAAUGCUGUCUCAAGUCCUGAUACAUUUUCGUGGCACCCGGAUGAAUAGAGUACCGCGAGUUGUGAGCCUCCUGAAGAAUCAACUCACGCAAACCAUCAACAUUAGGCACAUAUAACCUGCCCUGCAUCCGUAAUGCACCAUUAUCCCCCAAUAGUGACCUCUUUGGCAUCACCGUGCUGGACCGUGUCCCUAAGGAAAAGCAGAUAGGGGUAAUCAUACUGACGUUCCCUGAAAUGAUCAUAAAGAGAAGACCGAGAGACCACACAAGUCAAUAAUCGACUAGGCUCAGAAAUAUCCAAUCUCACAAACUGGCUGGCUAAAGCCUGAACAUCCAACGCCAUGGGCCUCUCUACUGCUGGUAGAUAAGCUAAACUCCCCAAACUCUCUGCUCGGUGACUCAAAGAAUCGGCCACCGCAUUGGCCUUCCCCGGGUGGUACAAAAUGCUGAUAUCAUAAUCCUUAAGUAGCUCUAACCACUUCUUCUGAUGCAAAUUAAGAUCCAUUUGCUUGAACAUAUACUUCAAACUUCGGUGAGCAGUGUAGAUCUCACAAGGGACACCGUACAAAUAGUGCCUCCAAAUCUUCAAGGCAUGAACAAUAGCAGCUAACUCAAGGUCGUGGAUAGGAUAGUUCUUUUCAAUGCACCUUUAGUUGUCUGGAAGCGUAGGCAAUCACCCUAUGGUCCUACAUAAACACCGCACCGAGGCCAACUCAUGACGCAUCACAAUAAACUGUAUAAGACCCCGAACCUGAAGGCAAUACCAAUACUAGGGCUGUAGUUAAAGCUGUCUUAAUAUUUUGAAAGCUCUCCUCACACUCUUCUGUCCACCUAAACGGAGCACCCUUCUGGGUCAGCCUGGUCAUGGGUGUUGCAAUAGAUGAAAUCUCUUAACAAAUCGACGGUAAUACCCUACCAAACCAAGGAAACUCCGGAUCUCCGUAGCUGAGGAUGGUCUGGGCCAACUCUACACUGCUUCCACUUUCUUCGGAUCCAGUUUGAUCCCUUUACUUGAUACCACAUGACCUAAGAAUGCUACGGAAUCUAAUCAGAACUCACAUUUUGAGAACUUUGCAUAUAAUUUCUUUUCUCUCAAGGUCUAAAGCGCAGUCCUCAGAUGCUGCUCAUGAUCUUCUCGACUCCAGGAAUAUACCAGAAUGUCAUCAAUAAAGAAAAUGAUGAACGAAUCAAGAUAAGACCGGAAUACACUGUGCAUCAAAUGCCUAAAUGUUGUUGGGGCAUUGGUCAGCCAAAAUGACAUAACAAGGAACUCGUAAUGACCAUACCGAGUCCUGAAAGCAGUCUUCAAGAUGUCUGGCUCCCAAAACUUCAAUUGAUGAUAACCUGAACGUAAGUCAAUCUUGGAAAACACUCGGGAACCCUAUAACUGGUCAAAUAGGUCAUCAAUAUGAGGCAAAGGAUACCGGUUCUUCACUGUAACUUUGUUCAACUAGAGAUAAUCAAUGCAUAUGCGCAUGUAACCAUCCUUUUUCUUCACAAACAAGACUGGAGCACCCCAAGGCGAUACAUUGGGCCGAAAGAAGCCCUUAUCAAGCAAUUACUAUAACUGUUCCUUCAACUUCUUCAUCUUAGGAGGGGCCAUAUGAUAAGGAGGAAUAGAGAUAGGCUAAGUGCCCAGCAACAAAUUAAUGUCAAAAUCAAUAUCUCUAUCGGGCGGCAUGCCUGGAAGAUCAGUUCGAAACACAUUAGGGAAAUCCCUCACUACUGGGACUGAAUCAACUAUAGGGGUAUCAAUACUGACAUCUAUCACAAAAGCUAGAUACGCAUCACACCCCUUCUCAACCAUUCGCUGAGCUUUAAGAAAUGAAAUAACCCUACUGGGAGUGUAAUCUAAGGCACCCCUCCACUCUAAUCGCAGUAAUCCUGGCAUAGCCAGCAUCACAUUCUUAGCGUGACAAUCAAGAAUGGCAUAAUAGGGCGACAACCGGUCCAUGCCCAAGAUAACAUCAAAAUCUACCAUGCUGAGCAAUAACCUGGGCGAGCUGACUAAGCCUGCCUGAAUGGACGACCUCUGCCCUGCUAGAACUGACCCCUCGAAGGAGCACUACUAAAGCUACCAGAUCCCCAAGGCUUCUUGGCCUCUCUUUCCUUGCACUCUUGGUGAUGAACCAACUCAAUCUCAUGGACGAUGUAAACAACCUCCUCGAAAGUAGCACCUGUCACCCUCUCCCUAGUAAUGAGAAUUCAAAGCUGAUAUGUGAUGCCAUCAACAAAUCUCUUGAUCCUCUCUCGAUCUGUGGGAACCAACCAGACCGCAUGACGAUCUAACUCAGAGUACAACAUCUCAUACUGCGUCACCGUCAUCUCUCCUAAUGCAACUGCUCGAAGUGCCUGCGCAGCUCCUCUCGGCGAGACUGUGGUACAUACUUCUCUAGAAAGAGAACAAAGAAUUGCUGCCAGGUAAGGGGUACUGCACCAACAGCCCUACGCCUCUCAUAAGCCUCCCACCAAGUGAAGGCAGCCCUAGAAAACUGAAAGGUAGUGAAUGCUACACCACUGGUCUCUAGAAUACCCACUGUAUGAAGCAUCCUCUAGCACUUAUUCAAGAAACCCUGGGCAUCCUCGCCCUCUGCACCACUGAAAGUUAGAGGCUGAAGUCUGCCAAACCUCUCUAGUCGAUGUUGCUUGUCAUCCGGCAUAACUGGUACCACAUAAUCUUGAGCUAGUAUAACCGGCUGGGCUGGAGUUGCCCCCGGUGUUUGAAGUCCCUGCACAACCUGCUCAGGUGUGCGAUAAACGGGAGUCUAGGUGCCUCCCUCGGCUUGAAAAGUAGCCACGGUCGUAGUAACUAAGACCACCUAGGCCAAACCGGUACACACUAAUGAAAUCUGAGCUAAAGCCUCCUGAAGGUCUGGAAUCACAAUAGGCACAGCUUAUGCCUGAGCUGAUGUUGUUGUAGCCUCCACAACUGGGGCAGCUGGUAGAUCUGUAGGUGCUGAACUAGUUCCUCUACCCCUACCACAGCCUCGACCCCAUCCUCGGCCUCUAGUGGCCCCAGCUAGUGGUACUGGUGGUCAUCCAUCCUGCCCGGUAACACGUGUCCUCACCAUCUGUGGGAGAAUGGAAUAACAGAAGUUUAGUACUCAGGUCAACAGACUCGCACGAUACGAGUUUCAAGAAUAUGAUGUUUUUCCUAAAGGUUAUGUAGCCUCCCGAGGAUAAGUACAGAUGUCUCCGUAUCGAUCUGCGAAACUCUACUAAACCGGCUCAUGACUCGUGAGACCUAUAUAACCUAGGAUCUAAUACCAACUUGUCACGACCCCAAAUACUCAGUCGUGAUGGCGCCUGCCACAUUACUAGGAAAGCCAACCCAAACAUCGAUCAUAACCCUUUUUCUUUUAAUAAAUCCUUUUCUAACACAAGUUUAAAUACCAAUUUUUCAUAAGAAGUGAUUAAACAACUAAAAAUAUGCGGAAAUCAAUAAAACAUAAGACAACACAGCCCAAACAUCUCGUGUCACAAGUCUAGAGCCUCUAAAUACAUAACCAACUGUCUAAUACAUCAUAAAUCUAAAAAUGCAGAAAAGAACAAGAUAGGAAGGAGGAAAGCAGGGUUGCGGACGCCAUACAACUACCUUGAAAUCUCCGACAAACUCUAGAUAAGCUGAUGACCCUCACUCUGCCGCUCGGGCACCUGGAUCUGCACACAAGGUGCAGGGAGUACCGUGAGUACGCCAACUCAGUAAGUAACUAAAGUAAAUAAGGUCUGAAAGCAGUGAUGAGCAGUUAAAAAUCAUAUAAAGGAAUAAAUAACAGAAUAACAUAUCAAACUCCACAGUUAAAACCAAUUUUGUCAUAAAAAUCUUCAGUUUCAGUUAGAAUACUUGAAAUUAUAUACUUAGCAAAUUUUUCAAUAGAGGCUUAUUUUAAAAGAAGAGUGAAAUUAGUGAAAAUAUCAUAAAUGGGCCCCUCGGGUAAGGUUUCACUCAGAAUAUAGCCUCUCGGGCAGCCUCUCAGUCACUCGUGACUCAACUCUCGUCACUCAGUACUCACUCNNNNNNNNNNNNNNNNNNNNNNNNNCAACAUGUCUACAUGUCUUAAUUUCUUAUCUGAACUAUGUGCAGCAUGCUUAGUGAAUUCCCCACUUCUUCCUUCGCUUGUACUUAGUCUAAAUUAUAGGAUUUCGUGUGUUAGAUGUUAUUUCUAUCGUUUGAGCUGUGUAUUUACUUUCGAAACUACAAAACAAUAUUCCAGGAGAUCCCCCCUACAUAUUUAAUUUGGUAUUACAGAAUGGUAUUCCGGGAGACCCCCCUGCACAUUUACGUUUGGGACUAUGAGAUGGUAUCUCGGGAGAUCCCCUAUUGUUAUCUCUGUGUACUGAGCUGUUACGUUUCUAUGAUUUCAUUCUUGUUAAAUUUCUAUUUUCACUUUACUGUGAUAUUUAAUUCUGUCUUGUUUUUAUUAUAUACAUAUAUAUAAGUAGGGCCCUGGCCUGACCUCGUCACUACUCGACCGAGGUUAGGCUUGGAAAUUACUAGGUACCAUUGUGGUAUACCCAUGCCCUUUCCUGCACAUGUUUUUCAUGUAUAGAUCCAGGUACCUCCUACCAGCCUUAUUCUUAGUGAGCCGAGACAGCUUUGAAGACUUCAAGGUAUAUUUGUCGCGUCCGCAAACCUUGAAGUCUCUUUUCACUCUUCCCCGUGUCAAACACUUCCUGUAUUUUUCUUUUGUUAGACUCUGGAGUAUAUAGAUACUAUUUUUUUUCUUCUGUAGUUUGUGACUUAUGAUGUUUCGGGUUUUGGAAAAACUGUGUACGCCCAGUGUUUGGUUAUUGUACAUGCCGAGCAGCAUUAUUAUUGGUUAUUCAGUAUCUAAUGCAGUAAGCUAUUUAGUUUGUUUUUAUUAUUGAUAUUUUUCCACAAUUUGUUAGGCUUACCUAGUCAUAGAGACUAGGUGUUGUCACAACAUGUCUCGGAGAGAUGUUUGGGUCAUGAAAAGUUUGUAUAAGAGAUCUAGGUUCAUAGAUAUCGUGAGUCCCAAGCCAGUUUAUUAGAGUCUUGUAGAUCGGUACAGAGAUGUCUGUUCUUCGGGAGGCUAUGGAACUAUUAGGUAAAAAAUUCACUUCUUUUGAUUCCUUGUCGUGUGAACUUGUUGACUUUGAAAAUCUAAACUUCUGUCUUCUAUUCUUUCACAGAUGGUGAGGACACAUGUAGCCGGAGAUGACCAGGCACCUAUUCCCUCUUAUUAGAGCCGCCUGUGGCCGGGACCGGGGCAUAGGCUGAGGGCACCCACGUAUGGCAACUAGAGCACCCGGGAGAGUUUCUAUGUUGGAGCCACAAGUAGCUCCAGUCGGAGCAUAGGCACCAAGACGCCUACUAUUACACCAGCUCUUUAGGAGACCCUUGUACAGUUUCUGAGCAUGUUCGGCACUCUAGCUCGGGUAGGGUUGAUUCCCCUUGAGCCAGCCACAUCUCAGGUUGGGGGAGGAGCACAAACUCCCGCCACUCGCACUCUAGAGGAGAGGGUUCAGGUUGAUCAGAUUCCAGAGGUUAUACCGGUACCAGCUGUAGCCCCAGCUCAGCCCGAGGGUAGGGCAGCAGUUUUAGAUGAGGAGGAGCAUAGGCUCGAGAGGUACUAGAAGUACCACCCUCCUAUCUUCAGUGGUUUGGCGACAGAGAAUCCUCAUGGUUUUCUAGAGGGUGCCACUCUAUCCUCCGUACUAUGGGUAUAGCAGAGUCGAGUAGGGUUUCUUUCACUGCAUUUCAGCUUUGAGGAGUGGCUUAUCAGUAGUGGCGUGCUUAUGAGUUGGGCAGUCCAGCUGAGGCAACUUCCCUUACAUGGACUCAGUUCUCGGACAUGUUUUUUAGAGAGUAUGUCCUUUAGAGCCUUAGGGACAUAUGGCACACUGAGUUUGAGCAGUUGCGCCAUGGUGCUAUGAGUAUUUCAGAGUAUGCAAUCCAUUUAAGUGACUUGGCUAGACAUGCACCGGACUUGGUUUCUAUAGUUUGAGAGAGGGUCCAUUGGUUUAUUGAGGGACUCCAUCCCAGCAUCAUGACUAGUAUGGCCCGAGAGUUAGAAAUGGAUAUCUUGUAUCAGAAGGUUGUGAGUAUUGCCAGGAGAGUGGAGGACAUGUUUGUUCGAGAGAGAGAGGAGAGAGAGUCCAAGAGGUCUCGAGAGUCUGGCUAUUUUUCUAGUGCUCGUGCCCCAGCUGCAAUUUGACAUGGUCAUCCGCUAGUGGUGUUUGAGCCCCUUCUAGGCCUCAAGAGCCUUAUUAUGUACCUCCAGUAUUUAGUGUGCCUCCUCCACGAGGUGCUUUUAGUGGUCCGUCCAGCAGACUUGGCCCGAGCCAGCCACAGCAGCCACGCCCUCCUAGAACUUGUUUUUAAGUGGAGACACUUGCCAUAUGGUAAGGGAUUGCGCCAGACUUAGUAAUGGUGCACCUCCACAAACUUCUCAGCCACAACAUGCUCCACUGGGUCCUUAGGCCAUAAUUCCAGCACCAGCUACUACCCCAACUGCUCAGCCAGCUCGAGGUGGAGGUUGGGGAGGUAGAGGUCACCCUAGAGGGGGAGGCCAGGCUAGGUACUAUGCCCUUCCUACUCAUACAGAGGUAGUUGCUUUCGAUUCUAUCAUUACAGGUAAUGUUCUAGUAUGUCAUAGAGAUGCAUCGGUUCUAUUCGAUCCAGACUACACUUAUUCCUAUGUGUCAUCUUAUUUUUCCCCAUAUUUGGGCAUAUCUCGGGAUUCUUUGAGUUACCCUGUUUAUGUAUCUACUAUUGUGGGAGAUUCUCUUAUUAUGGACCGCGUGUAUCGAUCAUGUUUGAUUACUCUUAGUGUUUUUGAGACCAGAACUUAUUUAUUAUUGCUCAACAUGGUAGACUUUGAUGUGAUCUUGGGCAUGGAUUGGUUGUCGCCCCAUUAUGCAAUUCUUUAUUGUCACGCCAAGACUGUCACGCUGGCUAUGCCAGGUUUAUAGCGAUUAGAGUUGAGGGGUACCUUAGAUUACACUCCCAGUAGAGUUAUUUCAUUUCUUAGAGCUCAACGAAUGAUUAAAAAGCGGUAUAAUGCGUAUCUAGCCUAUGUGAGAGAUGCCAGUAUUGAUAAACCUACAGUUGAGUCAGUCCCAGUGGUGAGGGAUUUCCCUAAUGUAUUUCCAGCUGAUAUUCUGGGUAUGCCACCUAACAGAGAUAUGGACUUUGGUAUUGAUUUUUUUCCAGCACUCAGCCUAUCUCUAUUCAUCCUUAUUGUAUGGCUCCUCAUGAGUUGAAGAAAUAGUUAUAGGAAUUGCUUGAUAAGGGCUUCAUUCGUCCCAAUAUGUCACCUUGGGGUGCUCCUGUCUUGUUUGUAAAGAAAAAGGAUGGUUCUAUGCGAAUGUGCAUUGAUUAUCGCCAGUUGAACAAAGUCACAGUGAAGAACUGGUAUCCUUUGCCUCAGAUUAAUGACCUUUUUGAUUAGUUAUAGGGUGCCUGAGUGUUUUCCAAGAUUGAUUUGCAUUCAGGUUAUCAUCAGUUGAAGAUUCGGGAGGCAAAUAUCCCGAAGACUGCUUUCAGGACUCGGUAUGGUCAUUAAGAGUUCCUUGUGAUGUCAUUUGGGCUGACCAAUGCCCUAGAAGCAUUUAUGCAUUUGAUGCACAGUGUAUUUCGGCCCUGUCUUGACUCAUUCAUCAUUGUCUUUAUUGACGACAUUCUGUGUACUCCCGGAGUCGGGAGGAUCAUGAGUAGCACCUGAGGAUUGUGCUUCCGACCUUGAGAGAGAAGAGAUUAUAUGCAAAGUUCUCAAAAUGUGAGUUCUGGUUAGAUUCCAUGGUAUUUUGGGUCACGUAGUGUCAUGUAAAGGGAUAAAGGUAGAUUCGAAGAAGGUGGAAGCAGUGCAGAGUUGGACCAAACCGUCCUCAGCUACAGAGAUUCGGAGAUUUCUUGGUUUGGCAAGGUUUUAGUGUUGAUGUGCUGAGGGAUUCUCAUCUAUUGCAGCACAUAUGACCAGGCUGACCAAGAAGGGUGAACCAUUUAGGUGGAUAGAGGAGUGUGAGGAGAGCUUUCAAAAGCUCAAGACAACUUUGACUACAGCCCCAGUAUUGGUAUUGCCUAUAGGUUCGGGGUCGUAUACUGUUUAUUAUGAUGCGUCACGAGUUGGCCUCAGCACAGUGUUGAUGCAGGACCGUAGGGUGAUUGCCUACAUAUACAGAAAUCGAAGGUGCAUGCAAAGAACUAUCCUAUCCAUGACCUUGAGUUAGCAGCUAUUGUUCAUGACUUGAAGAUUUGGAGGCACUAUCUUUUCGGUGUCUCUUGUGAGAUCUACACUGAUCGUCGGAGUUUGCAGAAUUUGUUCAAGUAGAAGGAUCUUAAAUUGCAUCAUCGGAGGUGGUUAGAGCUGCUUAAGGACUAUGAUAUCAUAAUUCUAUACCAUCCCAGCAAGGCCAAUUUGGUGGCCGGUGCCUUGAGUCAUAGGGCAGGGAGUUUGGGGAGAUUAGCAUAUUUGCAAGUAGUACAGAGGCCAUUGACACUAGAUGUUCAGGCCUUAGCCAACCAGUUUGUUAGAUCGGAUAUUUUUUAACCAAUUCAAGUUUUGGCUUGUGUGUUCUCCCAGUCUUCUAUUUAUGAUCGUAUCAAGGAGCGUCAGUAUGAUGACCCGUAUCUGCUCGUCCUUAAGGACACGGUUCAGCACGGUGAUUCUAAGUAGAUCACUAUUGGGGAGGAUGUUGCUUUGAGGAUGCAUGGUAGGCUAUGUGUGCCCUAUGUAGACGAGUUGCAUGAGUUGAUUCUUCAGUAGGCUCACAGCUCGCGGUACUCCAUUCAUCUGGGUGCCAUGAAUAUGUACCAGGACUUGAGGCAGCAUUAUUAGUGUUGUAGAAUGAAGAAGGACAUAGCGGAAUAUAUAUCCUGGUGUCUAAAUUGCCAACAGGUAAAGUAUGAGCAUCAACGGCUGAGUGGAUUGCUUCAGAAGUUAGAGAUUCCGGAGUGGAAAUGGGGGCAGAUCACUAUGGAUUUCGUUGUUGGACUCCCACGGACUCGGCAAAAGUUUGAUGGAGUAUGGGUGAUUGUGGAUAGGUUGACAAAGUCAGCUUAUUUCCUUCCUAUGAUGACUAGUUAUUAUUCCGAGCAGCUGGCUCGAGUUUAUAUUCGCGAGAUUAUCAAAUGUCAUGGAGUGUCGGUAUCUAUCAUCUCUGACCAGGGUACGCAGUUUACAUCACAGUUGUUUAGGGCCGUACAGCAAGAGUUAGGUGCUCGGGUGAGUUGAGCACAACAUUUCUCCCUCAAACGGACGGGCAGUCCGAGCACACUAUUCAGAUUUUAGAGGAUAUGUUCCAUGCGUGUGAUGGAGUUUGGAGGUUCUUAGGAUCAGUUUUUGCCCCUUGCGGAGUUUUCCUACAAUAGCAGUUAUCAGUUCAGCAUUCAGAUGGCACAGUAUGAGGCUUUGUAUGGUAGGCAGUGUCAGUCCCUAAUGUGUUGGUUCGAGCCGAGCGAGGCUAGAUUAUAGGGCACAGACUUGGUUCAGGAUGAUUUGGAGAAGGUUAAGGUGAUACAGGAUACACUUCGCACAGCUCAAUCCAGACAGAAAAGUUAUACAUAUUAGAAGGUUCGCGAUGUUGCACUAAUUGUCGGAGAGCAUGUCCUACUCCGAGUUUCGCCUAUGAAAGGAGUUAUGAGUUUCGGAAAGAAGGGCAAGCUGAGCCCAAGGUAUAUUGGUCUCUUUGAGGUGUUGCGGCGUGUUGGAAAGGUUUCUUAUGAGCUUGACUUACCUCCUAGCCAAGUAGGAGUUCAUCUGGUAUUUCAUCUUUCGAUACUCUGGAGAUAUCACGGCGAUUUGUCUCACGUGUUGGAUUUUUGUUCAGUCCAGUUGGACAAGUAUCUAUCUUAUGUUGAGGAGCCAGUGGCUAUUUUGGACAGGCAGGUUCGAAGAUGAGGUCAAAGAACAUUGCAUCAGUGAAGGUUUAGUGGCGAGGUCAACCCAUCGAAGAGGCGAUUUGGGAGACCGAUCAGGAUUUGCGCAGCCGUUAUCCUCAUCUUUUCACCAAUUUAGGUAUGUCUCUAUGCUCGUUCGAGUACAAAUGAUUAUUUUAAGAGGAGCAGGAUGUAACGACCCGGUCGGUCGUUUUGAGAAUUAUAGCCCCGAUCCCCUAUUAAUUGCUUCCCUCAUAUAUUUCUAUUAGUGUGACUCGAUGGGAGGUUUCAUUUUGGUUUUUGGAACGUUUUGGGCCACAAUCCCUAAAUGGAGGCUUAAUCUUAGGAUUUUGACCGUAUUCAAAACUGUGUGAAGACGACUCCGGAAUGGAGUUUCGUCGAUUCCGUUAGAUCGGGUGGGUGAUUUUGGGCUUAGGGGCUUGUUCGGAUUGUAUUUUGGAGGUCUGUAGCUUAUUUAGGAUUGUAUUUAGCCUAAAUAAGCUACAAACCUCCAAAAUACAAUCCGAACAUUCCUCUAAGCCCAAAAUCACCCACCGGAUCUAACGGAAUCGACGGAACUCCAUUUUGGAGUCGUCUUCAUACAGUUUUGACUAUGUUCCAAAUCCUAAAACUAAGCCUCCAUUUAGGGACUGUGUCCCAAAACACUAUUAAAACCAAAAUGAAAUCUCCCAGCAAGUCACACUAGUAGAAAUAGAUACGAGGGAAGCAAUUAAUAGGGGAUCGAGGCUAUAAUUAUCAAAAUGACCAGUCGGGUCGUUACAUCCUGCCCCUCUUAAAAUAAUCAUUCGUCCUUGAAUGAGCAUUAAAACAUACCUAAAGUGGUAAAUUGAUGAGGAUAUCGGUUGCGCAUAUCCUACUCGGUCUCCCAAGUCGCCUCCUCGGCGGGCUGACCCCGCUACUAAACCUUAACUGAUGCAAUGUUCUUUGACCUCAACUUUCGAACUUGCCAGUCCACAAUUGUCACUGGCUCCUAUACAUAGGAUAGAUCCUUGUCUAACUAGACUGAACUGAAAUCAAACACGUGAGACGGAUUGCCAUGAUAUAUUCAGAGCAUCGAAACAUGAAAUACCGGUUGAACUCGUGCUACUGUAAGGUAAGUCAAGCUCAUAAACAACCUUCCCAACACGCCACAACAUCUUAAAAGGACUAAUAAACCGUGGGCUCAGCUUGCCCUUCUUUCCAAACCUCAUAACGUCUUUCAUAGGCAAAACCCGGAGCAGGACCCGCUCUCCGACCAUGAAUUCCACAUAGCGAAUCUUCCAAUCCGCAUAACUCUUCUGUCUGGACUGGGCUGUGUGAAGUCUAUCCUGAAUCACCUUAACAUUUUUAAGGCAUCCUGAACCAAGUCUGUACCCAAUAAUCUGGCCUCGCCCGACCCGAACCAACCCACUGGAGACCGACACCGCCUACCAUACAAAGCCUCAUACAGUGCCAUUUGAAUGUUGGACUGAUAAAUGUUAUUGUAGGCAAACUUCACAAGGGGCAAAAAAUAAUCCCAAGAACCCCCAAACUCCAUCACACACGCACGAAGCAUACACUACAACAUAAUGCAUCUAUAGCUACGAAAUACAUAGUAGCUAAAUAUGAAAAUUUUCGUGGCAAAACACUUUAGCCACAAUAUUUUUUUUUCUGUAGCUUUCGUAGCAAAUGUAGCGUAGCUUAAAGUUAGCUACAAACUUUACAUGAUCCGUGGCUGAAGACUAAUACUUAUUGCCACGAAUUUUUUUUAUGUUGUAGCUAUGAUGGUAAAAAUUUCUUGCCAUAAAAAAUAUACCUGUAGCAAGUGAUUUUAUUCUUUUGCCACGAUAUAAAAUUUUGUAGCUAUUUUCAUAUUGUAGCAACAAGAUUUUGUGUUGUAGCAAAAGAUUUAAUUUAUUUUCCAUGCAAGCUCAACUUUUGGGGCUAAAUUUAUAAUUUACUCUCGUGGCAAUAGUACUUGUGUUUAGCUAUGAAUUCAAAGUUCAUAGCAAUAAAUUAAAGUAUUUGCCACAAUAAUUUUUAUAUUGUAGCUAAGGAUUCAUAUUUUUAGCUGUGAAUUCCAUAAUUUCGUAGAAAUAAACUGAAGAAUUUGCCACGAUCAGCUAUAGCCACAAGAAUUUAUAUAUCGGAGCUAACAAUCCAUAGUUUAGCAUCAAUAUAUAAAUUUUUUGCAAAAUAUUUUCAAUUGUUUUAGUAAAUGAUAUACAUUAGUAAGAAUACAUAAUUAAAGGUUCAACAAUAUCAUUCAAGAUAAAUUAAAAUACUAAAAUAUUGUUAUACUCACAAUGUAACGGUAUUCUUUUACAAGAGAGAAUAAUUUCAUACAUAACUCUUUUACAGUACGAAUAAUAAAAUUUUUAAAAAAACAAGCUAACGUGAGAAUGGAUAGUGAUGGUAACCAUCAGCAGACAGUGAAGAGAAGUGAAAACUCAAAAGUGCUCUAAUGCUUUUCUAAAACCAAGUUCCGAUGGCGAGUUGAGAGACAUUAGUCGAUUGUAUUUGUACCAAAUGCAUGAAAGAAAUUAUUGUUCUUGUGGAUAUCAAGAAGAAGGGCGCAGUAAAUAAGAUUGUCAUGUUACCCUCCUAAUCUUGCAGGACUGCCACCUUCUGUUUCUACAAUUAUAUAUGAACGAGUCAUAGACUCUAACCUGUAUAUACAAAAAUGACACCCAUACCAUAAGUUUAGUACAUUAACUAGUUGGGACUUGUUAAUCAUGUUUGAACUGAACAACAGUUCCUUUGGCAGGGUAAGAUUCUGCCAGAAACAACAACAUGCUUCUUUAAAACCUUAAGAUUAUUAAUGCAAUGUAUGUACCAAAAGACCGCAAACCAUUCAAAACAUAAGCCUUAUUUAGCAGCUCUUAGUUUGAAACAUAACACUAUAAGAAAAUACUACUAACCUCAUAGCUGCAUUCUUCUUAGUAUCUGAUAACGAGGUGUUUCCAAGUCUGAAGUUUUGUAAAUCCUUAAGUUUGUAACUGCCAAAAAAUUAUAUUCUCAUAUUUCUUGACAAAAGAAAAGAUCACAAGCUAAACCAGUUCAACAUCACACCCAUUCCAUAACAAAAACAGUCCUAGAGUAAAAUAUUAUUAUUCUCAAUAAAAUUUUAGAAGUCCUACAGAUUUUAGUAAGAAGUUUGUAAACACUCCAUCCUUCACUAGGUAGUAUAUCCAAUUGAAUUUGUUUUGAUAAAGAGUAAAGUAUCAUACAUACCUUAUGGUUACUAUACUUGUUUGUUUCUACAUUGAUGCCCAUAACAGAAGUGCCUGAAAAAAUAAAUUCAGGUUUACUUAAACAGAAUGAACUCAUCACCAUACCACAACAUAAAUUUGGAGCAUAUGCUUAUAUAUGAUUGUGCUAAUGCAUCUCAUAAUUUUACCCUUAUAAGUUGUUGAAAUAUUUAUACUGUAUAUUUGAAAAAAAAAAAUCCACCAUCUCAGUAAAUGUAUUGGAUAGCGUCUAGAAGUGUUUAGGAGUUCAUUGGAUAGCGUCUAGAAGUGUUUAGGAGUUAUAUCUUUAUCCUAAUUAUUGCAUAGAAGUUUUAGAAAUAAAGGAAUGGUAAUAUCUUAACAACAAACUCUUCUUCACCUAUUUGCAUGCUUCCUUCAUUGCUAGCAGCCACAAGAAGAACAAAAAAUAUAUAGAAAGCAAAGAUGCAUUGCCAUGACUAUUUAUUUAGUAAGUUGAACAUCAAAUGAAUGCAAAUACUCACCCUAUAUCCACUAAACUGAUCAUCAAAUUUGGGGGAAAAUUGUGCCUCCCCAACUCAUUUGCUCCCUGCAAAUAUUCACACAGAUAUUAACAACCACAACUGUGAACAGUACUUAAUCCAAUAGAGAAAAUUUGUUAGUAUAGUUUUUUUGUGUGCAUAUAACUAUAAAUUGGGAACCACUAGGUGUGGCAAACGGGCCGGCCGGGUUGGAUAUGGUUCGGGUUAAAAAUGGGUAAUAAAAAACGGAUUAAUUAUCCGACCCGACCCAUAUUUAAUACGGAUAAAAAAUGGGUUAACCGGCGGAUAAUAUGGGUUACCCAUAUUAUCCAUGACUUAUUGUAUAUGAUCACUUUGGGAGAAUUCUUAGUCUCUAUAAUUUGAGGAACCCCAAUUUGAGGCUUUACAAAUGUAAAAGUUAGAUCCAUUGGUUAUCCAUUGGUUACUCAUUGGUUAUCCAUUUUGCCACCCCUAAGCACCACCCAAAAAGCCAUUUAAGAUUCCCAAUCUGUAAAUGGAGGCAAUGAAGAAUAAACAAUAUACAAGAAAUUAUAGGGAAAAAAGCUUGUUCGGGCUUAGUACUAAAGAAAUCAAGAUUGAACUACUAAUUCCCGUUUCAUACAACAAAGUAAUUUAAACAGAUUACAAAAGACAAAUAUAGGAAUUAAAAUAUAUGAAAAAGCCCCUCCAUUUAUAAUAAUUGGAGAGAUUCCUAAUUCAUUGCUUUGAAUUUGGCAAUCUUUUAAAUUCUUGGCACUUAUUAAUAUAAAUAAAGAAGGGAUUGCCAUUUCACAGCCACACUAUAAUGAUGAAACUGAAAAGAACUAAUUUUGAUCAAGAAUCCUAGGAAAGAAAUGGGAACAAUCGAAAUUAAGAAAAUUAAAAAAACAAAGACUAUGGUGAUCAUACCUUGGCGAUUAUGUUUUUCAAGAGCAGGAGGGACAUGGGUUCAAGGGAUGGUUGGUUAGAGUGGGAAAGGAUUGGGAGAGAUGGAGCGUAUAGUUUUGGGGGAAAUGGGUU
rnacentral:lncRNA from 1 species